rnacentral:rRNA from 1 species
CCUUGACAUGUCUGGAAUCCUGUAGAGAUACGGGAGUGCCUUCGGGAAUCAGAACACAGGUGCUGCAUGGCUGUCGUCAGCUCGUGUCGUGAGAUGUUGGGUUAAGUCCCGCAACGAGCGCAACCCUUGUCCUUAGUUGCCAGCACGUAAUGGUGGGAACUCUAAGGAGACUGCCGGUGACAAACCGGAGGAAGGUGGGGAUGACGUCAAGUCAUCGUGGCCCUUACGGCCAGGGCUACACACGUACUACAAUGGUCGGUACAGAGGGUUGCAAUACCGCGAGGUGGAGCCAAUCCCAGAAAGCCGAUCCCAGUCCGGAUCGAAGUCUGCAACUCGACUUCGUGAAGUCGGAAUCGCUAGUAAUCGCGGAUCAGCUAUGCCGCGGUGAAUACGUUCCCGGGCCUUGUACACACCGCCCGUCACACCAUGGGAGUGAGCUGCUCCAGAAGCCGUUAGUCUAACCGCAAGGGGGACGACGACCACGGAGUGGUUCAUGACUGGGGUGAAGUCGUAACAAGGUAGGCGUAGACGU